rnacentral:tRNA from 2 species
GGGUCGAUGCCCGAGCGGUUAAUGGGGACGGACUGUAAAUUCGUUGGCAAUAUAAUAUGUCUACGCUGGUUCAAAUCCAGCUCGGCCCA